AGGAAACUCCCUUUAUGGUAAGAAGGGCUGAGCUGUAAACUCAGUAGCUAAGUGCUUUUAAGAGUUCGAAUCUCUUGUUUCCUA
rnacentral:tRNA from 3 species